rnacentral:rRNA from 1 species
AGUUCGGAUUGUAGUCUGCAACCCGACUACAUGAAGCUGGAAUCGCUAGUAAUCGCGGAUCAGAAUGCCGCGGUGAAUACGUUCCCGGGGUCUUGUACACACCGCCCGUCACACCAUGGGAGUCGGAAAUGCCCGAAGUCUGUGACCCAACCGCGAGGAGGGAGCAGCCGAAGGCAGGUCGGAUGACUGGGGUGAAGUCGUAACAAGGUACC